rnacentral:pre_miRNA from 1 species
AUAGUACUUCCUCCGUCCUAAAAUUCUUGUCUUACCUUGUGUAGAAAUGGAUGUAUCUAAAUACUAAAUUUAACUAGAUACAUUUGUAUCUAAACAAAUCUAAGACAAGAAUUUUGGGACGGAGUGAGUAUGUG